rnacentral:rRNA from 1 species
CCCGACUCCAUGAAGCUGGAUUCGCUAGUAAUCGCGCAUCAGCCACGGCGCGGUGAAUACGUUCCCGGGGCCUUGUACACACCGCCCGUCAAGCCAUGGAAGCCGGGGGGUGCCUGAAGUGCGCUGCCGCAAGGAGCGCCCUAGGGUAAAACCGGUGACUGGGGCUAAGUCGUAACAAGGUAAC